UGCAAGUUGAACGAAGCGCUUAAAUGGAUUUCUUCGGAUUGAAGUUUUUGUGACUGAGUGGCGGACGGGUGAGUAACGCGUGGGUAACCUGCCUCAUACAGGGGGAUAACAGUUAGAAAUGACUGCUAAUACCGCAUAAGCGCACAGUGCUGCAUGGCACAGUGUGAAAAACUCCGGUGGUAUGAGAUGGACCCGCGUCUGAUUAGCUAGUUGGUGAGGUAACGGCCUACCAAGGCGACGAUCAGUAGCCGGCCUGAGAGGGUGAACGGCCACAUUGGGACUGAGACACGGCCCAAACUCCUACGGGAGGCAGCAGUGGGGAAUAUUGCACAAUGGGGGAAACCCUGAUGCAGCGACGCCGCGUGAGCGAAGAAGUAUUUCGGUAUGUAAAGCUCUAUCAGCAGGGAAGAAAAUGACGGUACCUGACUAAGAAGCACCGGCUAAAUACGUGCCAGCAGCCGCGGUAAUACGUAUGGUGCAAGCGUUAUCCGGAUUUACUGGGUGUAAAGGGAGCGUA
rnacentral:rRNA from 1 species